rnacentral:misc_RNA from 1 species
UACGUAGGAUCCGAGCGUUGUCCGGAUUUACUGGGCGUAAAGGGUGCGUAGGCGGUUCGUUAAGUCUCAUGUGAAAUCUCCUGGCUUAACCGGGAGGGGUCAUGGGAUACUGGCGAACUUGAGGUCAGUAGAGGAGAGCGGAAUUCCCGGAGUAGCGGUGAUAUGCGUAGAUACCGGGAGGAACACCAGAGGCGAAGGCGGCUCUCUGGGCUGAAUCUGACGCUGAUGCACGAAAGCGUGGGGAGCAAACCGG